rnacentral:rRNA from 1 species
AAUACAUAGUGCUGCAAGGCGAACCGGGGGAACUGAAACAUCUAAGUACCCCGAGGAAAAGAAAUCAACCGAGAUUCCCCCAGUAGCGGCGAGCGAACGGGGAGCAGCCCAGAGCCUGAAUCAGUUUGUGUGUUAGUGGAAGCGUCUGGAAAGUCGCAGGGUACAGGGUGAUACUCCCGUACACAAAAACACACAGGCUGUGAGCUCGAUGAGUAAGGCGGGACACGUGGUAUCCUGUCUGAAUAUGGGGGGACCAUCCUCCAAGGCUAAAUACUCCUGACUGACCGAUAGUGAACCAGUACCGUGAGGGAAAGGCGAAAAGAACCCCGGCGAGGGGAGUGAAACAGAACCUGAAACCGUGUACGUACAAGCAGUGGGAGCCUCUUUAUGGGGUGACUGCGUACCUUUUGUAUAAUGGGUCAGCGACUUAUAUUCUGUAGCAAGGUUAACCGUAUAGGGGAGCCGCAGGGAAACCGAGUCUUAACUGGGCGUUAAGUUGCAGGGUAUAGA